GUGUUUGUAGCGCAAUGGAUACCUCGUUGGACUUCUAUUCCAAUGAUAGUGGGUUUGAAUUCCACCUAGAAUG